GAAAUGCGAUACGUAGUGUGAAUUGCAGAAUUCCGUGAACCAUCGAAUCUUUGAACGCAUAUUGCGCUCGAGCCCUCGGGCAAGAGCAUGUCUGCCUCAGCGUCGGUUUACACCCUCACCCCUCCCACUUUUGUUGGGUGUGUUGGCUUCUAUGCCAGCCAUAGGGGUGGAUCUGGCUUCCCCAAUUCGCUGUAGUGGAUUGGGUUGGCUGAAGUACAGAGGCUUAAGCAAGGACCCGAUAUGGGCUUCAACUGGAUAGGUAGCACCGGCUUUCGCCGACUACACGAAGUUGUUGCUUGUGGAUCUUGCUAGAGGCCAAGCAGGAACGUGCCUUUGGCAUGUCUAAACUUUCGACCUGAGCUCAGGCAAGGCUACCCGCUGAACUUAAGC
rnacentral:misc_RNA from 1 species